UUUUCCACCAAUUCCCUGGCUUUGACAGGACCAAUCCCAAUUACACGAGUCAAUAGAUUGAUUGCAUUAGCUUUGUCAUCUGUAAAAGACAUUUCGGAAAUGAGUAUUUUACAUAUAACCUAAUUAUUUAAGUACGAAAGAGAUGGAGGGCUAUUUUUUUUUCCUUGAAGAUGUAGUCGCAUAUCAUCAAUCAUCAUUAGAGUAUUGACAUUUGACGUCAUCAUUGUUGAUGUCGGUCAUUUUGGGAACCUAAACAGCCAAGAUUUAUAACAAUAAAAACCCUGUUUUAUUCAUAUUAAGGAAAACAGUGAACUGUUGGAUGUCAAAUUGAGACCAACAUUUGAAAGGACAUAAACCUUACACCCUAUCCAAAAUGAAUCCCUUUAUUGCCUAGCUGUAUUAUAAAUCUGACCUUAAAAUGUAUUAAAAUAUGUUAUUACAUCGUUAUAAAAUCUUAUUUCCAUAUUGUAGAUAAAAAAUUAACUAUUAUAAUGUAAAGAAUAAGAUGUUUUUCUCUUA
rnacentral:lncRNA from 1 species